rnacentral:rRNA from 1 species
ACUCAAAUGAAUAGACGGGGGCCCGCACAAGCGGCGGAGCGUGUGGUUUAAUUCGAUGCGACGCGAAGAACCUUACCCGGGCUUGACAUGCCGGUGCACCGGGGGUAACGCCCCGUCCCCUUCGGGGGCGCCGGCACAGGUGCUGCAUGGCUGUCGUCAGCUCGUGCCGUGAGGUGUUGGGUUAAGUCCCCUAACGAGCGCAACCCCCGGGGCCCGUUGUACUUCUCGGGCCCGACUGCCGCGCGCAACGCGGAGGAAGGCGGGGAUGACGUCAAGUCAGCACGGCCCCGACGCCCGGGGCGACACACACGCUACAAUGGCCGGUACAACGGGCGCGCGAGGCCGCGAGGCGGAGCCAAUCCCGACAAAGCCGGUCGUAGUUCGGAUGGCAGGCUGCAACCCGCCUGCCUGAAGCCGGAGUCGCUAGUAACCGCGGGUCAGCACACCGCGGUGAAUACGUUCCCGGGCCUUGCACACACCGCCCGU